GACAGAGGGUGCAAACGUUGUUCGGAAUUACUGGGCGUAAAGCGAGUGUAGGCGGUUUGGUAAGUCGGAUGUGAAAGCCCCGGGCUCAACCCGGGAAGUGCACUCGAUACUGCCAAGCUAGAGUAUCGGAGAGGUUGGUGGAAUUCUCGGUGUAGAGGUGAAAUUCGUAGAUAUCGAGAGGAACACCGGUGGCGAAGGCGGCAUCCUGGACCGGCAUUGACGCUGAGGCGCGAAAGCCAGGGGAGCAAACGGG
rnacentral:rRNA from 1 species